CCUGUUGUUGUUGUUGUUGUUGUUGCCGGCGUCGUCGUCCGCGAGGAGAGGGGAAGACUUCCGGUCGGCCCGAACGCAGCGGCGACCCCUGGCGGGCGGUGGAGGAAACGCGCCCUGAGCCAUCAGCAUCUCAACUUGGAGCACCUUUGAACCCUCCCCUGUGCAAGCAGACCAGGAAGACAUGCUGCUGCUGGGAACUUUACAUUGGUACAUUACAGUAUCAGGAGGAAUAUUAUGGCUUAACUUUGCAUCAGUUUAACCCCACUACCAGAGCAACCUCAACCGUGUGUAGUGAAAGGUGUAAUCAGAGAUGUGUCAUGGGAGGAGUACAACCUAGUCAGCAAAACAGUGUAAUUUUACCCCGGGCAGAAGAGGUGGUGUAUAUGUUAACUGUUAUGUACUGAAGUUCUCACCCUGGGCCAGCAGGGGGAUACUGUAGAUAGUUCAGGUCCACAUAUGCAAAUAAGGGAUCGAAAGUGACGUUCAGUGAUUGGAUAGUUACAGAAAAUGGUUACUGUUGCGUUCUAGUGGAGCUCUAUAUAAGCAGGCUGGCUGAACCCUUCAGUUCUGUUCUGUUCUGGCCUGUGAAUAAACAAGAGCUGUUUGAAGAA